rnacentral:rRNA from 1 species
UACGUAGGGUGCAAGCGUUAAUCGGAAUUACUGGGCGUAAAGCGUGCGCAGGCGGUUCGCUAAGACAGAUGUGAAAUCCCCGGGCUUAACCUGGGAACUGCAUUUGUGACUGGCGGGCUAGAGUAUGGCAGAGGGGGGUAGAAUUCCGCGUGUAGCAGUGAAAUGCGUAGAGAUGCGGAGGAACACCGAUGGCGAAGGCAGCCCCCUGGGCUGACACUGACGCUCAGGCACGAAAGCGUGGGGAGCAAACAGG